GCUGUGAGGAAGAGGAGAUGGCGCCGGGUCCAGGGUGGGAUACUCGAAUGACUCCUUACACCCACACUAUUUUUGUCUUUGCU
rnacentral:miRNA from 1 species